rnacentral:rRNA from 1 species
AAAUGAAUAGACGGGGGCCCGCACAAGCAGUGGAGUAUGUGGUUUAAUUCGAAGCAACGCGAAGAACCUUACCAGGGCUUGACAUCCCUCUGACUGGCAUAGAGAUAUGCCUUCCCUUCGGGGCAGAGGAGACAGGUGGUGCAUGGUUGUCGUCAGCUCGUGUCGUGAGAUGUUGGGUUAAGUCCCGCAACGAGCGCAACCCCUGUUGUUAGUUGCCAUCAUUAAGUUGGGCACUCUAGCGAGACUGCCGGUGACAAAUCGGAGGAAGGUGGGGACGACGUCAAAUCAUCAUGCCCCUUAUGUCCUGGGCUACACACGUACUACAAUGGUGACUACAGAGGGAAGCAAGACCGCGAGGUGGAGCCAAUCCCCAAAGGUCAUCCCAGUUCGGAUUGCAGGCUGCAACCCGCCUGCAUGAAGUCGGAAUUGCUAGUAAUGGCAGGUCAGCAUACUGCCGUGAAUACGUUCCCGGGCCUUGUACACACCGCCCGU